rnacentral:lncRNA from 1 species
CUUUUCUGAGAGGAAAAGGAAAGGGAAAGGGAGAGAAAAAGGAGAGACACUGAACUGAAUGGAGGAUUGUGCCUGAGAAGAACCUACAGAGUAAGUAGCCUGUUGGAUAAACCUGAAGCUUAUCUUAUGGAAUAUUUUCUUCCUGAGUGAUUAGUGCGAUGCCCUCACACACACUCAAGCAACACCAUUGCUCCUCUGAUCCUUAAGUGAGGUAAACAUGAAAAGAACUACACUUUUCUGGUGAUGCAGCAUUUCACUUGUAGUUAGAGCAUGGCACCAAAGCAUCAUUACGUUUACUUAUUUUUAUUAAAGUUUCA